GCGGUAAUACGAAGGGUGCAAGCGUUACUCGGAAUUACUGGGCGUAAAGCGUGCGUAGGUGGUCGUUUAAGUCCGUUGUGAAAGCCCUGGGCUCAACCUGGGAACUGCAGUGGAUACUGGGCGACUAGAGUGUGGUAGAGGGUAGCGGAAUUCCUGGUGUAGCAGUGAAAUGCGUAGAGAUCAGGAGGAACAUCCAUGGCGAAGGCAGCUACCUGGACCAACACUGACACUGAGGCACGAAAGCGUGGGGAGCAAACAGGAUUAGAUACCCUGGUAGUCCACGCCCUAAACGAUGCGAACUGGAUGUUGGGUGCAAUUUGGCACGCAGUAUCGAAGCUAACGCGUUAAGUUCGCCGCCUGGGGAGUACGGUCGCAAGACUGAAACUCAAAGGAAUUGAUGGGGGCCCGCACAAGCGGUGGAGUAUGUGGUUUAAUUCGAUGCAACGC
rnacentral:rRNA from 1 species